UACGUAGGGGGCUAGCGUUGUCCGGAAUCAUUGGGCGUAAAGAGCGUGUAGGCGGUCCGGUAAGUCCGCUGUGAAAGUCGGGGGCUCAACCCUCGAAUGCCGGUGGAUACUGUCGGGCUAGAGUGCGGAAGAGGCGAGUGGAAUUCCUGGUGUAGCGGUGAAAUGCGCAGAUAUCAGGAGGAACACCUAUUGCGAAGGCAGCUCGCUGGGACGUUACUGACGCUGAGACGCAAAAGCGUGGGGAGCAAACAGG
rnacentral:rRNA from 1 species